UGGGAGAGAUCCCGCUGGAAUGUGGCCCUGAAAAAAGUCGGGCUGAACCGUGAA
rnacentral:ncRNA from 1 species